ensembl:lncRNA
GGGGAGCUCAUAGUUUUCCAGCAUUUUUGAACACUUUUCGAAAUUUAAGAUUUUCUUCUUAAUUUUUACUCUCAAUGGAAAACAAUCACUUAGAAACUUACGAAAGCAAGUUAAUUUAUAAAACAAAUUAACAUUAUAUUUUCUUAUAUUCCCUCAUUAAUCUUCUGUCAUGCCCAGCGUGAGGUGGGAAUACACCCUAGAUGAAACACCAAGCCAUCUCAUACACAUUCACACCCAGGGGUAAUUCAGAGUCACCACCCCACUGUCCGGCAGGUUUCAGGGAGGAAACCAAGGAGAACCCAGUGGACACAGGGAGAACUUGGAGCAGACAGAAGCCGAGCUCAGGAUCACACUUAUACACUCCAGAUAGACGUUAAGAACGCCUUUGACAAAAGAAGAACGUACUGAAAUCACUCUCAUGGCUGGAUGAGGAAGCUGUUGCAAGGUUGCGAUGGACUUU